GCCGGUGUGGCUCAGUGGAUAGAGCAUCAGCCUGUAGACCAGAGGGUCCCGGGUUCAAUUCCAGUCAAGGGCA
rnacentral:tRNA from 1 species